rnacentral:rRNA from 1 species
GACGAACGCUGGCGGCGUGCUUAACACAUGCAAGUCGAACGGAAAGGCCCUGCUUUUGUGGGGUGCUCGAGUGGCGAACGGGUGAGUAACACGUGAGUAACCUGCCCUUGACUUUGGGAUAACUUCAGGAAACUGGGGCUAAUACCGGAUAGGAGCUCCUGCUGCAUGGUGGGGGUUGGAAAGUUUCGGCGGUUGGGGAUGGACUCGCGGCUUAUCAGCUUGUUGGUGGGGUAGUGGCUUACCAAGGCUUUGACGGGUGGCCGGCCUGAGAGGGUGACCGGCCACAUUGGGACUGAGAUACGGCCCAGACUCCUACGGGAGGCAGCAGUGGGGAAUAUUGCACAAUGGGCGGAGGCCUGAUGCAGCAACGCCGCGUGCGGGAUGACGGCCUUCGGGUUGUAAACCGCUUUCGCCUGUGACGAAGCGUGAGUGACGGUAAUGGGUAAAGAAGCACCGGCUAACUACGUG